rnacentral:lncRNA from 1 species
CCGCUCUUAACAAUAGUGGCGGCAGUUGGUGCAUCCGGUUGCCUUAGUCCCUUUGUCCAUUUUCUUCGAUGUUCUUCAUCGAAGCGGUCCUCUUCGAUUUCUUGAUCUAUUCUUACAGGUUGUGAUCGUCUGUCGUUUGUUCGUUUACGACUCCGUCCGCGUGCUAUUUUCUAAUGGAAUAUUUUCUAAAGGAAUAAAUAAAAUGAAAUUAUUCAAGUCUUCUGAAAUUAUUCAGAUAUUCAAGUCUUAAAUGUAUUCUGUAAUGGUGAUGAAUUCUGUAAGAAGCCUUAAAUCUGCUGAGGAGUCUUUGAGAGAACAGGUAUGCGUGUGUAUAACUUAUUACAACCUUGCAAACACAUGGAUAGUCAGUGAAAUUUUUUCUAAUGUAUGUAUUAAUUAUGUAAGGUUGAGAGAGGAAAGAAAAAGGAAGCUGCAUUCAUAGUGGCAUUUGCUAAAAAAGACAAGGAAAUUUCUGAUUUAAAGGUGAUUCCUUUUUCAAUCUAUACUUGAAAUGUAUUUUAACUAAUGUAUUUUAUUUGUUGAAAUUAUAGUAUGUGGUUCUUGAUCUCCAAGUACAGUUAAAACCUGCUGCUAUUCAGGUAUUUCUCCGAACUAAAAAUAUUAGUUUUACCUAUUAUGUCGUGGUUGGAAAUUUGGUAAAACCCGACCCAUGGCCAUACCUAUAACCACACUAACUAGGUUUUUUUAAUGAGGUUGAGGUUGAUCAAGCAAAUUAUUUUUUUAAAUUGAAUGCAGGCUAGAAGACUACUGUCUGAUCCUACAAUGCAUCAGGAGUACCUACGUUUAAAGGUAAUAUUUACGACGAAAAUACUUGUGGAGUAACAACCAUCUGGAUCAUGUUCAUUUGGAUGUAAAAAAUUGUUUUUUUAAAAUAAAAUAGAACUUAAAUGAGGAAAAAGAUAGAAAGUUGAAAGAGUUGGAGGAAAACACCAAGGCUGUUUACUUCAAUUCAUCAAGCAAGAAGGGAAAAAUGUUAAUGGCAAAAUGCAAAACAUUGCAAGAGGAAAAUGAGAAGAUUGGAGAUUUAUGGUAAAAUUAUUUAAUCAAUACAGUAUAUAUAUUAAUCAAAUCAACCUAGGGUUUAUCUUUUUUUAUAUACUAAAUUCAAUACCCACAACUUUAAUAAUUAGGGUUUAUCUUUAUUAUAUAUAGUUACAUGAGUUGGAGAUGAAGCUUGCAUUGGAAAAAUCGGAAUAUGCAGAAUUUCAACGUAAACAGAAAUAAUCGGUGAAGUAAACAUAUGAAUCAAGAAUAGAAACAAAUCGAUCUUACCUGGAGGUGAAAUAAACGGAAUGGACUGGAGAUAUCGCCGGACAGGAAGUAUCGCUGCUGCUCGCCGGACUGGAGAUAUCGCUGCUGCUCGCUGGACGACUGGAGGUAUCGCUGCUGUCCGCCGGACGACUGGAGGUAUCGCUGCUGCUCGCCGGACAACAGGAAGUAUUAACGGGAGGGAUUGGAGAUAUCGCUGCGAUUUGGGGUUUUUCACUUGAAAACACGAUUUGGGGUUUUUCC